UACGAAGGUGGCUAGCGUUGUUCGGAUUUAUUGGGCGUAAAGGGUCCGCAGGCGGUUUGUUAAGUCAGGUGUGAAAUCCAACAGCUUAACUGUUGACACGCAUUUGAUACUGUUAGACUAGAGUAUGAGAGGGGUGAGAGGAAUUUCCAGUGUAGGGGUGAAAUCCGUAGAUAUUGGAAAGAACACCGGCCGCGAAGGCGUUUCACUGGCUCAUUACUGACGCUCAGGGACGAAAGCUAGGGGAGCAAACGGG
rnacentral:rRNA from 1 species